CCAGUUACUCAGCCUUUCCAGGUACUGGAAGAUUACCAUUUUUAUUUUUAGCUUUUCACUUCAUAUUGAGACAAAUCGGCAAUUCAGUGAAGCUCUCUUCUUCCAAUUAUUUUGAAAGUUUGAAAGAAUAAUGUGCAAAAAGGCAACUACAGGAGGUUUCACUACUGGCUACUAAAUUUUCUCUGCAAUACAUAUGUAUUAUAAUUUCUUGAAAUUCAACAAUGGCAUCGAACAAAACUUGCACUGUGCAACCAAACAGGUGUUUGCAGAUGGAGAAUCAUGUUAGGCCCUUAAAUUCAAGCAUGAAUGCUGAUAAUCUAUCAAAUUGUAAUUUGGAGAAUGAUAUAGUUAUUAGAAAUCCAGAAAAUUGUGAAUUAGCUCGACGUUGGUUUCUUACAAUGCAAAAUAGUAUAGUCAAAAUUUCACAAGUGGAAUUUUAUAUUCCUUCUAGUUUAUAUAAAUCCCUUAUCAAUCCAAAGAAGCAUUUGAUUGACACAAUCAUGGAAGAAUGUGGAAGAUUCAAUAUUUACUUUUCAAAAAGAAAAUCAAAUCGUCAAAAAGUUGUUAUUAGGGGCCGUUCAGACAAUAUUGAAAAGGUAAAGAAAAAGUUUCAUCAAUUACUGGAAGAAGAGAAAGCCAAGAAUUAUUCUGUAUCUGUCCCUGUCAAGUCAAAAUAUCAUCAGUUUCUCAAGAAUAAGAAUGGUGGCAAUCUUCCCGAAACAUGUAUAAAACUCGGGGCACGUGCUGUUUUCCCUACUCUUAAAAAUAAGAAUCAGGAUUUGAUAACAAUCAUAGGGAAAGAGGAAGCUGUUAAAGAAGUACAAAAAGUACUAGACCUUUUGAUGAAAGACUUAGAUCAUGUGGUGGAGGACAGCAUACUGAUAAAUCGCAAGUUUCACCAUUAUUUUGUCAUGCGAAGGGACCAGCUUAUAAGAGAAAUGACUGAAGUCUAUGCUGGUAUGAUUAUUCACUUCACAUAUGAAGGAAAACAGAGCAUUAGAGUUACAAUGAAAGGAGAAAAGGCUUGUGUUGAAGCAGCGAAGAAACACAUCCAACAGAUUUUCGAGCCCUUGGGUUCCCAUGUCACAACACAGUAUGUUAUUCCUCAAAAGUUUUAUACAUUUUUCAUGGGACCACUGUGUUCCAAAGUUCAGCAAAUUGCUAGAGAUUUCAAAGUUCAACUCACAUUUCCAGACAAAGAAAAGCCAACUAUGUAUAUACAUCCAGUGAUUCAAGAAACUGAGAAAGAAAAGUGGGGAAAGAGCACUAAAGAAAUUGUUUUUAGUAACCAAAGGAAAAAUAAAACCAUACUCAUCACAGGUCAAAUGGAAAAUUGCAAAGCAGCCAUGGAAGCUCUUGAAUAUCUAAUUCCUUUCACUGCUGAAGUCCAGGUGCCCUCUCACCUACAUCCUUACAUCAUUGGUCACAAAGGAAGUGGGAUAAAGAAGAUAAUGAGUGAAUUUGAUGUUCAUACUCAGGUGUCCCAAACUGAAGGCAAUUCUGAUAUCAUAUCCAUAAUGGGUCUUGCGGCAAAGGUAAAGCAAGCCAAGAUUAAAUUAGAGAAGCAAAUUAAUGCUUUACAAACAGAAAUAGAAGAUCGAGCACUAAGAAACUUUAAGCUAAUGUUUACUCUAGAUGCAAAAUACCAUUCCACAAUCACUGGUCAUAAGGGCUUGUUUAUUGCUCAGAUUUGCAGAGAACAUGAUGUUACUAUCCAAUUUCCAAAGAAAGCAAACCGUGAGAUACAAGAUCAAAUCACAAUUACAGGCUAUAAAAAGAAUACCCUAGCUGCUAAAGAUGCAAUAAUGAAAAUGUUACAUAAGAUAGAAAAAACAGUUUCUAAGGAAAUCCCAAUAAACCCCCAGGUUCGUGACAGUGUUUUUGGAUUUGGUGGAAAACUCAUCCAUAAAAUGAAUGAACAAUUCAAUGUAGACAUCCGGUUACCUCCAAAAGGAUCCUGGAAUACUAAUGUUAGUGUGGUUGGACUCCCCGACAAUGUUCAGGAAGCAAUUGACCAUAUCCUUGAUCUUGAGAAGUAUUACCUUUCAGCUCUCAUAAGCUAUGACUCUCAACUGGAAAGUCUUAAGAAUACCUAUCUUUACAAGAUAACCAUGGAAUUACCUAAGUAUUCUGGGAAAAAUGAUGGCCCUCAUAGUGCAAAAUCCUACCCAACCUCCUCAAAUGAUGAUUCUGAAGAUUUCCCCAAAUUGAAACAACAAACACCUUCUAAGACUCAUCCUUGGAGACCAUAAUGAAACACAUGAUUUAAAAAUUAAUAAAAAUUGUUCCAACUUGGUAU